CACGUAGGGGCCAAGCGUUGUCCGGAUUUAUUGGGCGUAAAGAGCUCGUAGGCGGCUCGGUAAGUCGGGUGUGAAACCUCCAGGCUCAACCUGGAGACGCCACCCGAUACUGCUGUGGCUAGAGUCCGGUAGGGGAGCGUGGAAUUCCCGGUGUAGUGGUGGAAUGCGUAGAUAUCGGGAGGAACACCAGUGGCGAAGGCGGUUGCCUGGAGCUUUGCUGACGCUGAGGCGCGAAAGCGUGGGGAGCAAACAGG
rnacentral:rRNA from 1 species